rnacentral:lncRNA from 1 species
UCAAUAUUUAUACCUUUACAAUCAUCAUCCUCAUGUGAUUCAUCCAAGCUAACUGUGGUUAUGAGUGCAACCGUCUUUUCAUCAAUCUCGCAUUCUGAUUCACUAUCACUCCAAGUAGUAUGCAUUGCCUUAUUCUUGCCAUCCCUUUGUUUCUUUAAGGUGUUGGCACAUUCCGAAGAUAUGUGUCCAUAGCCUUCACAUUCGAAACAUUGGACCUUUUCUCUUGGAUUCUUUAGUUCAUUUGACCUGCGAAAUUUAGACCCACCAUCAGUAUAGUUAACAAACCUAUUUUUAGAAUUUAUACCUUUUGAAUCUCGACUCCUUGGAUCCUGAUUCUUGAGAAAGUUCAUGAAUCGUCUUGUGAGAAU